CCCUUAGAUGUUCUGGGCCGCACGCGCGCUACACUGACGAUGGCAACGAGUUUUUCCUUCGCCGAAAGGUGUGGGUAAUCUUUUGAAACAUCGUCGUGCUGGGGAUAGAUCAUUGCAAUUUUUGAUCUUGAACGAGGAAUUCCUAGUAAGCGCGAGUCAUCAGCUCGCGUUGAUUACGUCCCUGCCCUUUGUACACACCGCCCGUCGCUACUACCGAUUGAAUGGUUUAGUGAGGACUCCUGAUUGGCGCCGCCGCCCCGGCAACGGAGCAGCGGGCUGCCGAAAAGUUGUUCAAACUUGAUCAUUUAGAGGAAGUAAAAGUCGUAACA
rnacentral:rRNA from 1 species